AUUGAACGCUGGCGGAAUGCUUUACACAUGCAAGUCGAACGGCAGCACGGGGCAACCUGGUGGCGAGUGGCGAACGGGUGAGUAAUAUAUCGGAACGUGCCCAAUCGUGGGGGAUAACGUAGCGAAAGUUACGCUAAUACCGCAUACGAUCUACGGAUGAAAGCGAGGGAUCGCAAGACCUCGCGCGAAUGGAGCGGCCGAUAUCAGAUUAGGUAGUUGGUGGGGUAAAGGCUCACCAAGCCAACGAUCUGUAGCUGGUCUGAGAGGACGACCAGCCACACUGGAACUGAGACACGGUCCAGACUCCUACGGGAGGCAGCAGUGGGGAAUUUUGGACAAUGGGCGCAAGCCUGAUCCAGCCAUUCCGCGUGCAGGAUGAAGGCCUCGGUUGUAACUAGCUUUGUUACGGAACGAAACGGUAC
rnacentral:rRNA from 1 species